UACGUAGGGGGCGAGCGUUGUCCGGAUUUAUUGGGCGUAAAGGGCGCGUAGGCGGUUUGACAAGUCUGAUGUGAAAUCUCUGGGCUCAACCCAGAGUCUGCAUUAGAAACUGUCGGGCUUGAGUAUGGGAGAGGUGAGUGGAAUUUCCGGUGUAGCGGUGAAAUGCGUAGAUAUCGGAAGGAACACCUGUGGCGAAAGCGGCUCACUGGACCAUAACUGACGCUGAGGCGCGAAAGCUAGGGGAGCAAACAGG
rnacentral:rRNA from 1 species